rnacentral:rRNA from 1 species
UGGGUAGUCCGCACGAGCGCACCCCGUCCUUAGUUGCCAGCACGUUAUGGUGGGGACUCUAAGGAGACUGCCUGGGAUAACCAGGAGGAAGGUGGGGAUGACGUCAAGUCCGUAUGUCCCUUAUGCCCAGGGCUACACACGUGUUACAAUGGCCGGUACAAAGGGUCGCGAACCCGCGAGGGGAAGCCAAUCCCAUAAAACCGGCCCCAGUUCGGAUUGGAGUCUGCAACUCGACUCCAUGAAGCAGGAAUCGCUAGUAAUCGCGUAUCAGCACGACGCGGUGAAUACGUUCCCGGGCCUUGUACACACCGCCCGUCACGCCAUGGAAGUCGGUAGUGCCCAAAGCAUGUGGCCUAACCUUCGGGAGGGAACCUAUUAAGGUAAGACUGGUGACUGGGGCGAAGUCGUAACAAGGUAGCCGUACCGGAAGGUGCGGCUGGAACACCUCCUUUC